rnacentral:tRNA from 1 species
AGGGGUGUAGCUCAGAGGUAGAGUGUGUGCUCAGUGUGCACGAGGUCCUGGGUUCAGUCCCCAGUACUGCCA